UACGAAGGGGGCUAGCGUUGCUCGGAAUCACUGGGCGUAAAGCGCACGUAGGCGGCUUCUUAAGUCAGGGGUGAAAUCCUGGAGCUCAACUCCAGAACUGCCUUUGAUACUGAGGAGCUUGAGUCCGGGAGAGGUGAGUGGAACUCCGAGUGUAGAGGUGAAAUUCGUAGAUAUUCGCAAGAACACCAGUGGCGAAGGCGGCUCACUGGCCCGAUACUGACGCUGAGGCACGAAAGCGUGGGGAGCAAACAGG
rnacentral:rRNA from 1 species